AUUGAACGCUGGCGGCAGGCCUAACACAUGCAAGUCGAGCGGAAACGAAGGGAGCUUGCUCCCAGGCGUCGAGCGGCGGACGGGUGAGUAACACGUGAGAAUCUGCCCCUUAGUGGGGGACAACUCGGGGAAACUCGAGCUAAUACCGCAUAAUCCCUACGGGGGAAAGCAGGGGACCUUUUGGCCUUGCGCUGAUGGAUGAGCCCACGUCGGGUUAGCUGGUUGGUGAGGUAAAGGCUCACCAAGGCGACGAUCCGUAGCUGGUCUGAGAGGAGGAUCAGCCACACUGGGACUGAGACACGGCCCAGACACCUACGGGAGGCAGCAGUGGGGAAUCUUGGACAAUGGGGGCAACCCUGAUCCAGCCAUGCCGCGUGUGUGAAGAAGGCCUUCGGGUUGUAAAGCACUUUCAGCAGGGAGGAAGGCUUUGGCCGAAUAGGUUGAAGUACUUGACGUUACCUGCAGAAGAAGCACCGGCUAAUUUCGUGCCAGCCGCCGCCGUAA
rnacentral:rRNA from 1 species